GUGUGAGUGGGUGUCAACCGGACGCGAUGGGGAUCGAGAACUCGAGGAUUUUUCCGGUUUCUAAUCGAGACCUUAAGGAGUUGGUAUGCCUGACCCGUAACCCAACCCACUC
rnacentral:sRNA from 24 species